CCUACGGGAGGCAGCAGUGAGGAAUAUUGGUCAAUGGACGCAAGCCUGAACCAGCCAAGUAGCGUGAAGGAAGACUGCCCUACGAGUUGUAAACUUCUUUUGUACAAGGGUAAAGUUGAGCACGUGUGCUUUUUUGAAAGUACUUUAUGAAUAAGGAUCGGCUAACUCCGUGCCAGCAGCCGCGGUAAUACGGAGGAUCCGCGCGUUAUCCGGAUUUAUUGGGUUUAAAGGGAGCGUAGAUGGGUUGUUAAGUUAGUUGUGAAAUUUUGAGGCUCAACCGGAAAAUUGCAUUUUAUACUGGUAGUCUUGAGUAUAGUUGCGGUAGGCGGAAUGUGUGGUGUAGCGGUGAAAUGCUUAGAUAUCACGCAGAACUCCGAUUGCGAAGGCAGCUUACUAAUCU
rnacentral:rRNA from 1 species